AAAGUCCCAUCGUAGAAGGUUAGCCAGACCACUACGUAGCGAGUCUUGCGUCUCCGGCGGUAACAAUGGAAACGAAGCGUAGACAGCGAAACAUUCGAGCCGAAACUAAAUGGUGAACGUGAUAGCUCCGAAAUUCCUCUCGUAGGGUGUGCCGAUGGCUUCGCACAGUCAGCAGGCAACAGCGACUGAAUGGUCAUACUGGCAAGCCCAUUCAGAAGCACACUCCGGAGCUGCAGGCGU
rnacentral:ncRNA from 1 species